rnacentral:rRNA from 1 species
CACGUAUUUAGCCGGAGCUUCUUAGUCAGGUACCGUCACUUUCUUCCCUGCUGAUAGGGCUUUACAUACCGAAAUACUUCUUCACCCACGCGGCGUUGCUGCAUCAGGGUCCCCCCCAUUGUGCAAUAUUCCCCACUGCUGCCUCCCGUAGGAGUCUGGGCCGUGUCUCAGUCCCAAUGUGGCCGUCCACUCUCUCAAGCCGGCUACUGAUCGCUGCCUUGGUGGGCCGUUACCCCGCCAACUAGCUAAUCAGACGCGGGCCCAUCCUGUACCACCGGAGCUUUCCCCGCAGCGCCAUGCGGCACCGCGGGCUUAUGCGGUAUUAGCAGCCGUUUCCGGCUGUUGUCCCCCUGUACAGGGCAGGUUACCCACGCGUUACUCACCCGUCCGCCACUAGGCUGUAUGCUGCUUCCGCCCGAAAGCUCCGCUGCAUACCACCCCGUUCGACUUGCAUGUGUUAGCACGCCGCCAGCGUUCAUCCUGAGCCAGGAUACAACUCUACG